rnacentral:rRNA from 1 species
GCUAGUAAUCGCGGAUCAGCAUGCCGCGGUGAAUACGUUCCCGGGCCUUGUACACACCGCCGUCACACCAUGGGAGUUUGUAACGCCCAAAGUCGGUGGCCUAACCUUUAUGGAGGGAGCCGCCUAAGGCGGGACAGAUGACUGGGGUGAAGUCGUAACAAGGUAAC